CGGCGGCGCUACCAUUGUGAGCAUCGACGGGACCCGUAUCGCGGCUUUGGCGCAGUUCUUUCUUUAGUUGUCCAACCUCCCGUUCCAGACGUUCAAUGCGACGGAGAGUGUAGUCAAGCCGCUGGAAUCCAUCGCUUCCGUCCAGGCGAAGAGGGCCGCGAGGGCGCGACGAAGUUUGCCCGCUCUGGGACCUGAUGGUU
rnacentral:misc_RNA from 1 species